rnacentral:rRNA from 1 species
CCUACGGGAGGCAGCAGUGGGGAAUUUUGGACAAUGGGGGCAACCCUGAUCCAGCCAUGCCGCGUGAGUGAAGAAGGCCUUCGGGUUGUAAAGCUCUUUCGGACGGAAAGAAAUUGCCAUCUCUAACAUAGGUGGUGGAUGACGGUACCGUAAGAAGAAGCACCGGCUAACUACGUGCCAGCAGCCGCGGUAAUACGUAGGGUGCGAGCGUUAAUCGGAAUUACUGGGCGUAAAGCGUGCGCAGGCGGUUUUGUAAGACAGGCGUAAACUCCCCGGGCUUAACCUGGGAACGGCGCUUGGGACUGCAAGGCUAGAGUGCGGCAGAGGGGGGUAAAAUUCCACGUGUAGCAGGAAAAUGCGUAGAGAUGGGGAGGAACACCGAUGGCGAGGGCGGCCCCCGGGGUCGACACUGACGC